rnacentral:rRNA from 1 species
CCUACGGGUGGCAGCAGUGGGGAAUAUUGGACAAUGGGCGAAAGCCUGAUCCAGCCAUGCCGCGUGUGUGAAGAAGGCCUUCGGGUUGUAAAGCACUUUCAGUGGGGAAGAAAGCCUUGGGGCUAAUACCCUCGAGGAAGGACAUCACCCACAGAAGAAGCACCGGCUAACUCCGUGCCAGCAGCCGCGGUAAUACGGAGGGUGCGAGCGUUAAUCGGAAGUACUGGGCGUAAAGCGCGCGUAGGCGGUCUGAUAAGCCGGUUGUGAAAGCCCCGGGCUCAACCUGGGAACGGCAUCCGGAACUGUCAGGCUAGAGUGCAGGAGAGGAAGGUAGAAUUCCCGGUGUAGCGGUGAAAUGCGUAGAGAUCGGGAGGAAUACCAGUGGCGAAGGCGGCCUUCUGGACUGACACUGACGCUGAGGUGCGAAAGCGUGGGUAGCAAACAGGAUUAGAUACCCGUGUAGU